GACGAACGCUGGCGGCGUGCCUAAUACAUGCAAGUAGAACGCUGAAGGAGGAGCUUGCUCUUCUGGAUGAGUUGCGAACGGGUGAGUAACGCGUAGGUAACCUGCCUGGUAGCGGGGGAUAACUAUUGGAAACGAUAGCUAAUACCGCAUAACAGUAGAUGUUGCAUGACAUUUACUUAAAAGGUGCAAUUGCAUCACUACCAGAUGGACCUGCGUUGUAUUAGCUAGUUGGUGGGGUAACGGCUCACCAAGGCGACGAUACAUAGCCGACCUGAGAGGGGGGUCGGCCACACUGGGACUGAGACACGGCCCAGACUCCUACGGGAGGCAGCAGUAGGGAAUCUUCGGCAAUGGGCGGAAGUCUGACCGAGCAACGCCGCGUGAGGGAAGAAGGUUUUCGGAUCGUAAAGCUCUGUUGUAAGAGAAGAACGAGUGUGAGAGUGGAAAGUUCACACUGUGACGGUAUCUUAACAGAAAGGGACGGCUAACUACGUG
rnacentral:rRNA from 1 species